rnacentral:rRNA from 1 species
GCUAAACAGCUAGCUUAACCACUAAAUUAACUAUUAUAAUAUUAAAAAUAUUAACAAAACCGCAAGACCACAAAUCAAAACAUUCUACCGCCCUAGUAUGUGCGACAGAAAAGGCACGACUUAAAGCCAUAGAAAUAGUACCGCAAGGGAACGCUGAAAGAGAAAUGAAAUAACUCAUUAAAGCACAAUAAAGCAGAGACUAAUCCUCGUACCUUUUGCAUCAUGAUUUAGCCAGCCCCCCCGAGCAAAACGCAUUUUAGUUCGAAGCCCCGAAACUAAGUGAGCUACCCCGAGACAGCCUAUAGUAGGGCCAACCCGUCUCUGUGGCAAAAGAGUGGGAAGAUCUCCGGGUAGAGGUGACAGACCUACCGAACUUAGUUAUAGCUGGUUGCCUAAGAAAUGAAUAGAAGUUCAGCUCCGCACUCCUUAACUCAAAACUAACCACGAGCCAAAGAAAUAAGCGGAAGUUAUUUAUAAGGGGUACAGCCCUUAUAAAACAGGAUACAACCUCACCAGGAGGUUAAAGAUUAUAUUAAACAAGAUAGACUGCUUUAGUGGGCCUAAAAGCAGCCACCUAAAUAGAAAGCGUUAAAGCUCCGGCAGAACCGAAAUCCAUUAUCCUAAUACUAAAUCUAAAACCCCUAAAAUUAUUAGGCCGCUCCAUGCCCCCCCCCCCAUGGAAAAGAUACUGCUAAAAUGAGUAAUAAGAGGGGGGGACCCCCCUCUCCAGAGCCUACGUGUACGCUAGAUCGAACCCCCACUAGCAAUUACCUGAACCCAAAUCAAGAGGGAAGUGUAAUUAUAUUAGAUACCAAGAAAUACUUACACACACUAAUCAUUAAACCCACACCGGAAGGCUAUCAAGGAAAGACUAAAAGAAAAGGAAGGAACUCGGCAAACAUAAGCCUCGCCUGUUUACCAAAAACAUCGCCUCCUGCAAAUUCAACGUAUAGGAGGUCUUGCCUGCCCAGUGACAAGUUAAACGGCCGCGGUAUUUUGACCGUGCGAAGGUAGCGCAAUCACUUGUCUUUUAAAUGAAGACCUGUAUGAAUGGUGGAACGAGGGCUUAACUGUCUCCCCUUUCAAGUCAAUGAAAUUGAUCUACCCGUGCAGAAGCGGGCAUAAAAAUACAAGACGAGAAGACCCUUUGGAGCUUAAGACAAAAGAUCACCUGUGUCAAGAACCUAAAUAGUUAAACGAAAUAGUAACUGAUCCCAGUCUUCGGUUGGGGCGACCACGGGAGAAAACAGAGCUCCCACGAGGGCUGGGGCACUCCCCCAAACCAAGAGAAACAUCUCUAAGUAUCAGAACCUCUGACCAUCAGACCCGGCAAUCUGCCGAUCAGCGAACCAAGUUACCCUAGGGAUAACAGCGCAAUCCCCUUUCAGAGUCCAUAUCGACAAGGGGGUUUACGACCUCGAUGUUGGAUCAGGACAUCCUAAUGGUGCAGCCGCUAUUAAGGGUUCGUUUGUUCAACGAUUAAAGUCCUACGUGAUCUGAGUUCAGACCGGAGCAAUCCAGGUCAGUUUCUAUCUAUAAUGCCACUAUUCCUAGUACGAAAGGACCGGAAAAGGGGGGCCCCUGCUACCGGCACGCCCCACCCCAACUUAAUGAAACCAACUAAA